GAGGGUAUAGCUCAGUGGUAGAGUGCCUGCUUAGCAUGCACAAGGUCUUGGGUUCAAUCCCAUCUACCUCCA
rnacentral:tRNA from 1 species